UCGAACGACGAAGAAAGUUUGCGCAACCGUUGCAUAGAGCGUGCUUUACGACAGAGCGUAGGAAAGCUUCGGUUUUCGGUAAUUCGGUUUGGGAAUAUUCCUCCGCGGUAUUGAAAGUGGCCAAAAUAACAAAAUCGGAACACAAAACCAGCAGAAAAGCACAGCAUUGUAAUUUCGGAAGCGUGCCAAGCUGGAAGUGGUCGCCAUUGUCGAUGCGCUAGAAAAUUGACUUCCACAUCGCUGGCUGAAGGAAGGUGGUUUCCCGGGGGAAUAUACCGAAAUACCGACGAUAAGCACGAAAUAAGAUCGACACGUGUCCGUGCAGCAUUCGGAUCGAUCGCCAUAUUGGAUUGGCACCCCGUGAAAGCAACGAGCACAACGGUUGCGAGAAGUUUACAUGAAGAUUGAUCCCUACUUCGAGGAGACCGACGCGAGCCUGAACUCACACCGAGUGGCAUUGGAGUGGGUCGCGUAGGAAGAGCGUGCGGAGUCAUCAAAAAACCCCUACAUAGGG